CUGACCUCAAAUUCCUAUCCGCUUUCGCGAGCUCCAGAAUACUAAUGAUUGUCACCUGUGUUUUGACUACUAUAGCAUAGUAUUUAAGCCCGGGCUUUAGAAUAGGAAACUUGCGUAUUGCAUCCGUUUCCGUGAUCUACUGAGCGUUUAUUCCUGUAUCUGAUUGUCGUGUGUGACCUUUGCCUUUGUUCUUUGACUUUGUCUUUUCGCCCAGCGCUUCGGAUUGUUUGCCUGACUUUGGAUUUUGGACUUAGACACUCACGUUUUUGCCUUCUCCUGUUUGGACUGUUUGCCUGGUGUUAUGUUUAUUGUUUUGUUUCUUAUCUGCUUUCUGGAAUUGACCCAUGCCUGUUUUUUUGACCACGAACUUGAACUGCGAUCCUACUAAUGAAGAGUGAUCAUACAUGGUGGUGUGGAUGGAUACAGCAGGCUCAUUGUGUUCCUCAAAGCUUCAGCCAAUAAUCGCAGCAGUACUGUCCUGUCCUGUUGACAAGUAUGGUGUUCCCUCCAGAGAUCUCUGGAGAAGACUUACAAAUACAAACCACUCCUUGUUUACAUUUUUAGAGAGUGAAGGCACCCUCGAUUGCAAUAAUGAAGCACACUUAUGGGCUCUCCAUUAUAUGUAUUUGCCGAGACUAAACAGAGAUCUUAAACUUUUCAUGAAUCAGUGGAACCAGCAUAAGCUAAGGACAGCAAGGUGUAUGUCACCUUUUCAGCUAUUUAUCCAUGGUAGCGUGUCUUGUCAAAUGAGUGACAACACUGCCAUGAGAGGCCUUUUUGGGGCUGAUGAACGUGAAGCCCCAGCACCUGCAGAGGAACAGCAGCCCCCUGUGGCCACAGAAUAGGCUGCGGUAUCAGAAUUGCCCAAUUUAAACUGGUUAGAAGCAGUAGAGGUUCCUGCCACUCACUUCCAUCUUGAGCAGAGAGUCAUGCAAGAGCUUGAAGCCAUGGUCAAUCCCUGGGAAGGUGCACAGGAUAGUUUGGGACCUGAUCUUUUUGAGCAAGUUCUUAAUUACAUAAGCAAUGUCCCAUAAGAGAUACACUAUGUGCACAAUUAUUAGGAAACCUGAAUAUAAGACGACAAAAUUCCCUGGUCGGUCCUCCAUCAUCCACAGCACCCUCUGAUACAUCCCAGUCAUCCACAAACACAAUGUCAAUUUUUUGCAAUGGAUCGAACAGAGGACGUUCAAAGGCACGUACAGCACAUGACAUAACAUCAUCAUGGCAGACAUUUAUCAGAUUAUGUGAUGGGCACUUAUCAACAUCAAUUUUUGAAAGGAGACUUCUCAGGAGGACUGUAGGUAAAAAAGUGGUAUACUGUACGUAUUAACAAAAACCCCUUCAUGUAGCACGAAUAUCAGUAUCAUAUUAAACCGGCUUCAUGAAACCACUCUUGAAAUGAAAAUUUACAAGGCAUUCCAGUCUUAUUCAGACCUUAGUUGAAAUCACUGUGUAUAUCACACUGUAUAUUAUGUCAAUACAGCAAAAAAAUACAUCACAGUUAACACAAAUACUUGUUUUUUUUCCAAAAGCAUACUGUGAUGUAAUGUACAUGUUAACUUGCAUAUUAAAGAAGAAAGGAGACAGUCCCCUGAUUGCAUCAUUAUUUUUAUCUGAAAAGUUAAAUGGGAUUUAGAUCUGAUCUUUUUGUCUAAGACAAUUUAAUUUGAAGCAUCUAUGAAUAUGCAUACACUUUACUGUAAAUACUUGUGACACACAAAUUGACUGUCAACUUACUCUUUUUUCUCCUGCACAGUAACAAAAGGUGUUCUCUGAAGGACGUGAUGUGCUGAAGUAGGAGGGUACAAACUGCCAAGAGGUGGAGAGACACGACGAGCAGAGGGAGGCAAACUGUCAGGGGAUGAAGAGAUUCUUACAGCAAGAGGAGACAAAUUGCCAGUGGAUGGAGAGAUUCUAGGAGCAGGAGGGGACAAACUGCCAGGGGAUGGAGAGAUUCUUACAGCAAGAGGAGACAAAUUGCCAGGGGAUGGAGAGAUUCUAGGAGCAGGAGGGGACAAACUGCCGGGGGAUGGAGAGAUUCUACGAGCAGGAGGGGACAAACUGCCAGGGGAUGGAGAGAUUCUUUUGGUGACAUUGCUGGCUGCAGUGAAAAAAAUUCACUUGCCAUGUCAUCAGCCCCUGCAACAGCCACCAGGUCCUACAAAAUUGAAGAAAAAUAUAUAUGUUGAACGCACAUCAGUGUGGAACAACAGUUAGGGCAAAAGCAACUGAAUUGGUAAGAUCAUAAAUGGCCACUGAAAACAUGCCUGAAAUGGCUGUGAUGCCAAAAAUUUUCUCCUCAGGAGUCUCCCAUCUGGAUAUUUCAGCUGUAUUAAAAACUUCUGCUGGUACAGAUAUAUUGGCAAUAUGUUUCCUUCUAUUCUCUACUGUGUGUCUUCGACAUCUCUCCAACUCCAAUAUCUGUCUUUGUCUCAUGUCCUAUUGUUAAAAUGUAAAAGGUGCACUGUAAAAUAAAUGUCUGAGCAGCAACAAUAUAUACAUAUUCUUCAUAUGUAUGAUGUACCAAAUAUUCAAACACAAUACUUCUAACAUAAUGUUACAGUCUUCUCUUUCCAAUUAAUAAAUCAUAGUAACAGAAUUUCACAACAUUCAGAAAGUCUGAAUACUAAAUAGUCUUACCCUUGUUCUGUCUAUUUCAAGAGAGCGGUUGAACUCAUUAUCUUGCUCUUCUAUCAGGGCCCUUCGUGCCACCAAGUCCUUUCAAUAUCACAGAGAAAUAAGAAUAGUUUAGAAUAGUAGAAUAGUUUGAUAUAAAAUUACUGAAGUGCACAAUCAA